CAGAGCUGAGCUGCUUUCAGACGACUCCGUCUUGUUGUGGAUGCUGAAGGUGAUCAUGGUUCUCCUGUGGAUGAUCCUGUUGGUGGUUCUGCUCUGUGCAGAGGCCAAGAAUGUGACCGAGGUCAGAGGAGAGCUGGGGACCAAUGUCACUCUAACCUGCUCCGAUCAGACAGCAGAGAUCCACUGGUACAUGGAGAUCUACAGUCAGUUCAGAGCAUGUAUCGGCCGCAGUUUUUCUUCAGCAGCUACCUACUGCUCUCCUGGUUUUGAAACCAAAUUUUCAAUCCUGGGAAACAAACUCGUGAUUAAAAACUUCAGAGCAGAGGACUGCAGGCUUUACUUCUGUGGCAUCAAGAGAUAUGGCAGCAUUUAUUUUGUGGAGACUUUCCGCCUCGUCUCAGAGUCAGAUCAUCAUCAGGAGAACAGCUCCACAUCAGAUCAUCAGCUCGUCAUCAUGUACCGCUCAGCCUUCAUCAUUACUGCCCUCAUCCUCCUUAUGCUGGUUGUGGUUUUUGCAUCUCUGUGGUUGAAGAGGAAAUAACAGAGUGACCAGGCGGAUGAACAUCAACCUGUGACCAACUAGAAUACAGAGACUCUGCAGAGCUCCCAGGGUGAGGAAAAACACUCCCACCCCAAGAACAUCACUGAAAGAAUACUGAAGAUGUGUCUGCGCUGUGUCUGUGUGUCCAAGUAUUCCAAACAAUCAUCAUAGUAAUAACAGGCACUGUGGCUGUGGGUGCUGUUUGGACUUCUCUGACUGCUGUCAGUCUUUUAUUACUGUAAACAAUAUGGCAGCAGUGUUUGUAGUAAUUACAAUAAAUGCAUUGGUAAACUGACAACUGAUUGAGUGAAG
ensembl:lncRNA